GACGAACGCUGGCGGCGUGCUUAACACAUGCAAGUCGAACGGUAAGGCCCCUUCGGGGGUACACGAGUGGCGAACGGGUGAGUAACACGUGGGUGAUCUGCCCUGCACUUUGGGAUAAGCCUGGGAAACUGGGUCUAAUACCGGAUAGGACUACGCGAUGCAUGUCGUGUGGUGGAAAGCUUUUGCGGUGUGGGAUGGGCCCGCGGCCUAUCAGCUUGUUGGUGGGGUGAUGGCCUACCAAGGCGACGACGGGUAGCCGGCCUGAGAGGGUGUCCGGCCACACUGGGACUGAGAUACGGCCCAGACUCCUACGGGAGGCAGCAGUGGGGAAUAUUGCACAAUGGGCGCAAGCCUGAUGCAGCGACGCCGCGUGGGGGAUGACGGCCUUCGGGUUGUAAACCCCUUUCAGCACAGACGAAGCGUAAGUGACGGUAGGUGCAGAAGAAGCACCGGCCAACUACGUG
rnacentral:rRNA from 1 species